rnacentral:rRNA from 1 species
UACAGAGGUCCCAAGCGUUGUUCGGAUUCACUGGGCGUAAAGGGUGCGUAGGUGGCGGGAUAAGUUUGAUGUGAAAGCUCAGGGCUUAACCCUGAAAUGGCAUUGAAUACUACUCUGCUGGAGGUUUGGAGGGGGGACUGGAAUUCUUGGUGUAGCAGUGAAAUGCGUAGAUAUCAAGAGGAACACCAGUGGCGAAGGCGAGUCCCUGGACAACACCUGACACUGAGGCACGAAAGCUAGGGGAGCAAACAGG